AGUCGCACGGACUAGUUCUGCUAGUUAGUGGCGGACGGGUGAGUAACGCGUAGGUGACCUGCCCCAAAGUCGGGGACAACCAGGAGAAAUCCUGGCUAAUCCUCGAUGUGAACCUCGGUCCUGACCGAGGUUCAAAGCUUCGGCGCUUUGGGAUGGGCCUGCGUUGGAUCAGGUAGUUGGUGAGGUAAUGGCUCACCAAGCCGACGACCCAUAGCUGGUCUGAGAGGACGACCAGCCACAGGGGUACUGAGACACGGACCCCACUCCUACGGGAGGCAGCAGUUAGGAAUCUUCCCCAAUGGGCGAAAGCCUGAGGGAGCGAUACCGCUUGAACGACGAAGCCCUUCGGGGUGUAAAGUUCCGAAGCAGGGACGAUAAUGACGGUACCUGCGUAAUAGCACCGGCUAACUCCGUGCCAGCAGCCGCGGUAAUACGGAGGGUGCGAGCGUUACCCGGAUUUACUGGGUGUAAAGGGCGUGUAGGCGGUCUCUCAAGUCCGAUGCUAAAGACCGAGGCUCAACCUCGGGAGUGCGUUGGAUACUGUGAGGCUAGACGGUCGGAGAGGGCAGCGGAAUUCUCGGAGUAGCGGUGAAAUGCGCAGAUACCGAGAGGAACGCCAAUAGCGAAGGCAGCUGCCUGGAUGAUUUGUGACGCUGAGGCGCGAAAGCGUGGGGAGCAAACCGGAUUAGAUACCCGGGUAGUCCACGCCCUAAACGUUGAGUGCUGGGUGUCCCGGCUUUAGCUGGGUGCCGAAGCUAACGCGAUAAGCACUCCACCUGGAAGUACGGUCGCAGACUGAAACUCAAAGGAAUUGACGGGGCCC
rnacentral:rRNA from 1 species